rnacentral:misc_RNA from 1 species
GAGGAAUCUUCAUUUCCGAGGAGAAGAAAAUGGGAUAAAAGAAUGCUAGAGUUUGUUCUCGCAACUUCAGAUAAACCUCUUAUUUGGUGUGGUGAUCUUAAUGUAAGUCAUGAGGAUAUUGAUGUAAGUCAUCCAGAAUUUUUCAGUGCAGCCAAGCUCAAUGGAUACACUCCACCAAACAAAGAGGAUUGUGGUCAACCUGGGUUUACCCUGGCUGAAAGGACG